rnacentral:rRNA from 1 species
GACGAACGCUGGCGGCGUGCCUAAUACAUGCAAGUCGAACGGAAAGGCCCUGCUCUUGUGGGGCGCUCGAUAGGCGAACGGGUGAGUAACACGCGAGUAACCUCCACUUGACUUUGUGAGAUAUCUACGAAACACGGGCUCAUAUCCGAUAUGAGCUCUUGAUGCAUGUUGGGGGUUGGAAAGAUUCGGCUGUUGGGGAUGGACUCGCGGCUUAUCAGCCGGUUGGUGGGGUAGUGGCUUACCAAGGCUUCGACGGGUAGCCGGCCUGGGAGGGUUACCGGCCACAUUGGGACUGAGAGACGGCCCAGACUCCUACGGGAGGCAGCAGUGGGGAAUAUUGCGCAAUGGGCGGAAGCCUGAUGCAGCAACGCCGCGUGCGGGAUGACGGCCUUCGGGUUAUAAACCGCUGUCGCAUGUGACGAGGCGUGAGUGACGGUAAUUGGUAAAGAAGCACCGGCUAACUACGUG